GAGUUUGAUCAUGGCUCAGAACGAACGCUGGCGGCGCGUCUUAAACAUGCAAGUCGAACGAUCUGUAGCAAUACAGGGAGUGGCGGACGGGUGAGGAACACGUAGGAAUCUACCUAGAAGAGCGGGGCAACCUUGGGAAACCGGGGCUAAUACCGCAUAGUACAGUAAUGUUAAAGGGCUAGCAAUAGUCGCUUCUAGAUGAGCCUGCGGUCUAUCAGCUUGUUGGCGGGGUAACGGCCCACCAAGGCGACGACGGAUAGCCGGUCUGAGAGGAUGAUCGGCCACACUGGCACUGAGACACGGGCCAGACUCCUACGGGAGGCAGCAGUUAAGAAUCUUGCGCAAUGGACGAAAGUCUGACGCAGCGACGCCGCGUGAAGGACGAAGGCUUUCGGGUUGU
rnacentral:rRNA from 1 species